rnacentral:rRNA from 1 species
AACGAACGCUGGCGGCAUGCCUAACACAUGCAAGUCGAACGAGACCUUCGGGUCUAGUGGCGCACGGGUGCGUAACGCGUGGGAACCUGCCCUUAGGUUCGGAAUAACUCCCCGAAAGGGGUGCUAAUACCGGAUAAUGUCUUCGGACCAAAGGUUUAUCGCCUUUGGAUGGGCCCGCGUUGGAUUAGCUAGUUGGUAGGGUAAAAGCCUACCAAGGCGACGAUCCAUAGCUGGUCUGAGAGGAUGAUCAACCACACUGGGACUGAGACACGGCCCAGACUCCUACGGGAGGCAGCAGUGGGGAAUAUUGGACAAUGGGCGAAAGCCUGAUCCAGCAAUGCCGCGUGAGUGAUGAAGGCCUUAGGGUUGUAAAGCUCUUUUACCCGGGAUGAUAAUGACAGUACCGGGAGAAUAAGCUCCGGCUAACUCCGUG